UGGACGAAAGUCUGAUGGAGCAACGCCGCGUGAGCGAAGAAGGCCUUCGGGUCGUAAAGCUCUGUUGUUAGGGAAGAACAAGUAUCGGAGUAACUGCCGGUACCUUGACGGUACCUAACCAGAGAGCCACGGCUAACUACGUGCCAGCAGCCGCGGUAAUACGUAGGUGGCAAGCGUUGUCCGGAAUUAUUGGGCGUAAAGCGCGCGCAGGCGGUCCUUUAAGUCUGAUGUGAAAGCCCACGGCUCAACCGUGGAGGGUCAUUGGAAACUGGGGGACUUGAGUGCAGAAGAGGAAAGCGGAAUUCCACGUGUAGCGGUGAAAUGCGUAGAGAUGUGGAGGAACACCAGUGGCGAAGGCGGCUUUCUGGUCUGUAACUGACGCUGAGGCGCGAAAGCGUGGGGAGCAAACAGGAUUAGAUACCCUGGUAGUCCACGCUGUAAACGAUGAGUGCUAAGUGUUAGGGGGUUUCCGCCCCUUAGUGCUGCAGCUAACGCAUUAAGCACUCCGCCUGGGGAGUAC
rnacentral:rRNA from 1 species